AACGAACGCUGGCGGCAUGCCUAACACAUGCAAGUCGAACGAGACCUUCGGGUCUAGUGGCGCACGGGUGCGUAACGCGUGGGAACCUGCCCUUAGGUUAGGAAUAACUCCCCGAAAGGGGUGCUAAUACCGGAUAAUGUCUUCGGACCAAAGAUUUAUCGCCUUUGGAUGGGCCCGCGUUGGAUUAGCUAGUUGGUAGGGUAAAAGCCUACCAAGGCGACGAUCCAUAGCUGGUCUGAGAGGAUGAUCAGCCACACUGGGACUGAGACACGGCCCAGACUCCUACGGGAAGCAGCAGUGGGGAAUAUUGGACAAUGGGCGAAAGCCUGAUCCAGCAAUGCCGCGUGAGUGAUGAAGGCCUUAGGGUUGUAAAGCUCUUUUACCCGGGAUGAUAAUGACAGUACCGGGAGAAUAAGCUCCGGCUAACUCCGUG
rnacentral:rRNA from 1 species